GUUUGCACUCAUCGGGGAAGGGUGAGAACCUUCGACUAAGGUUCGAUUCGAGCGAAAGCGAGAGAACGUUGCCACAGGCAACGGCCCGAAGGGUGAGGAGCGAAGCGACGAAUAAUCCUUCCCCCACCACCA
rnacentral:sRNA from 55 species